GGAAUAUUGGUCAAUGGGCGAGAGCCUGAACCAGCCAUGCCGCGUGGAGGAAGACGGCUUUCUGAGUUGUAAACUCCUUUUAUCAGGGAAGAAAAGGCCCUUGCGAGGGACAUUGCCGGUCCCUGAUGAAUAAGCACCGGCUAACUCCGUUCCAGCAGCCGCGGUAAUACGGAGGGUGCAAGCGUUGUCCGGAUUUAUUGGGUUUAAAGGGUACGUAGGCGGUCCUUUAAGUCUGUGGUGAAAGCCCACCGCUCAACGGUGGAACUGCCAUGGAUACUGGAGGACUUGAGUGCCGUAGAGGUAAGCGGAAUUGAUGGUGUAGCGGUGAAAUGCAUAGAUACCAUCAAGAACACCAAUAGUGAAGACAGCUUACUGGACGGUAACUGACGCUGAGGUACGAAAGCGUGGGUAGCG
rnacentral:rRNA from 1 species